AAAACGACUCUCGACAACGGAUAUCUAGGCUCUCGCAUCGAUGAAGAACGUAGCGAAAUGCGAUACUUGGUGUGAAUUGCAGAAUCCCGUGAACCAUCGAGUUUUUGAACGCAAGUUGCGCCCGAAGCCAUUAGGCUGAGGGCACGCUUGCCUGGGCGUCACG
rnacentral:rRNA from 1 species